GACGAACGCUGGCGGCGUGCUUAACACAUGCAAGUCGAACGGAAAGGCCUCUUUCGGGGGGUACUCGAGUGGCGAACGGGUGAGUAACACGUGAGUAACCUGCCCUUGACUUUGGGAUAACUUCAGGAAACUGGGGCUAAUACCGGAUAGGAGCUCCUGCUGCAUGGUGGGGGUUGGAAAGUUUCGGCGGUUGGGGAUGGACUCGCGGCUUAUCAGCUUGUUGGUGGGGUAGUGGCUUACCAAGGCUUUGACGGGUAGCCGGCCUGAGAGGGUGACCGGCCACAUUGGGACUGAGAUACGGCCCAGACUCCUACGGGAGGCAGCAGUGGGGAAUAUUGCACAAUGGGUGGAAGCCUGAUGCUGCAACGCCGUGUGCGGGAUGACGGCCUUCGGGUUGUAAACCGCUUUCGCUCAUGACGAAGCUUUGUGUGACGGUAGUGGGUAAAGAAGCACCGGCUAACUACGUG
rnacentral:rRNA from 1 species